GAAAGCGAAGCUAAUACCUGAUAAGACUACAAUCUUCUAGGAGAUAGUAGGAAAAGAUGGCCUCUGUUUCAUGCUAUUGUUUAAGGAUGAGCCCUUGCACUAUUAGCUUGUUGGUGGGGUAAUGGCCCACCAAGGCUACGAUGGUUAGCUGGUCUGAGAGGAUGACCAGCCACACUGGAACUGAGACACGGUCCAGACUCCUACGGGAGGCAGCAGUGAGGAAUAUUGCGCAAUGGGGGAAACCCUGACGCAGUGACACCGCGUGAGCGAUGAAGGCUUUCGAGUCGUAAAGCUCUGUUAGGUGGAAAGAAAUAUUCCAGUGCCAAUACCACUGGGAUUUGACGGUACCACCAGAGGAAGCACCGGCUAACUCCGUGCCAGCAGCCGCGGUAAUACGGAGGGUGCAAGCGUUGUUCGGAAUUACUGGGCGUAAAGGGCGUGUAGGCGGUUAGGCAAGUCAGAUGUGAAAUCCCUUGGCUCAACCAAGGAAGUGCAUUUGAAACUGUUUAACUAGAGUACAGGAGGGGAAAGUGGAAUUCCCAGUGUAGAGGUGAAAUUCAUAGAUAUUGGGAGGAACACCGGUAGCGAA
rnacentral:rRNA from 1 species